CAGCAGCCACGGUAAUACGUAGGGUGCAAGCGUUGUCCGGAAUUAUUGGGCGUAAAGAGCUCGUAGGCGGUUUGUCGCGUCUGCUGUGAAAACGCGAGGCUCAACCUCGCGCCUGCAGUGGGUACGGGCAGACUAGAGUGUGGUAGGGGAGAUUGGAAUUCCUGGUGUAGCGGUGGAAUGCGCAGAUAUCAGGAGGAACACCGAUGGCGAAGGCAGAUCUCUGGGCCAUUACUGACGCUGAGGAGCGAAAGCGUGGGGAGCGAACAGGAUUAGAUACCCCGGUAGUCCCUGUCUCUUAUAU
rnacentral:rRNA from 1 species